AAAUUUACGUGGCAGGGGAGACACCUUGAUCACAAAGGAGGUUUUCCCAGGGUGAGGCUUAUCCAUUGCACUUCAGGUGUGCUGACCCCAGCAAUUUCUCCAAAUGCGGGAAACUUGACUGCAUAAUUUGUGGUUAGGUGCCAGGUCAAGACUUUUCUCUUC